GGGUAGAUACACCAGCAGUCCAGA
rnacentral:piRNA from 1 species